ensembl:snRNA U6 U6 spliceosomal RNA
GUACUUGUUACAGCAGCACGUAGACUAAUAUUGGAACGAUACAGAGAUUAGCCUGACCCUUGUACAAGGAUGACAUGCAAAUUCAGGAAGCCUUCCCUUUUUUU